rnacentral:rRNA from 1 species
UCCUGGCUCAGAACGACGCUGGCGGCGCGUUUAAGCAUGCAAGUCGAGCGGCAAGGGCCUUCGGGCCCCUAGAGCGGCGGACGGGUGAGUAACACGUGGACAAUCUGCCCCCCGGCCCGGGAUAGCCCAGGGAAACCUGGAUUAAUACCGGAUGAGACGGGACCCGCGAUGGCGGGAUCCGGGAAAGGCGCUGCGGCGCCGCCGGGGGAUGAGUCUGCGUCCCAUUAGCUAGACGGCGGGGUAACGGCCCACCGUGGCGACGAUGGGUAGCCGGCCUGAGAGGGUGGACGGCCACAUUGGAACUGAGACACGGUCCAGACUCCUACGGGAGGCAGCAGCUAAGAAUCUUCCGCAAUGGGCGAAAGCCUGACGGAGCGACGCCGCGUGAACGAAGAAGGCCGUGAGGUUGUAAAGUUCUUUUCGGGAGGGGGAACAACCGUGGCAGGGAAUGGCCGCGGGAUGACGUGAAUCCCGGAAUAAGCCCCGGCUAACUACGUGCCAGCAGCUGC